rnacentral:rRNA from 1 species
UACGGAGGGUGCAAACGUUGCUCGGAAUCAUUGGGCGUAAAGCGCACGUAGGCGGCCGACUAAGUCAGGGGUGAAAUCCUGGAGCUCAACUCCAGAACUGCCUUUGAUACUGGCGAUCUCGAGUCCGGGAGAGGUGAGUGGAACUGCGAGUGUAGAGGUGAAAUUCGUAGAUAUUCGCAAGAACACCAGUGGCGAAGGCGGCUCACUGGCCCGGUACUGACGCUGAGGUGCGAAAGCGUGGGGAGCAAACAGG